AUGGAACGAGCCAGUACUUUGAUUGGGAAUUCCCUUUCCUGGUUACUUCAGCUGCAUCGUCAACAUGUCAUAGUUGAGUUUGAUCUGGAUAACCAGAGCCUAGCUGUGACAGAGGUACCAGCAACUGUAGAACCUGACUGUCGAAAUUUAUGGAUUAUGCCGGCCGAAGAUGGUGGGCUUGGCUUGAUCCACAUCUCACAAUUCCAUGGCCGGUUAUGGAAGAGAAAGCCUGAUUCUGAUGGUUUGGCUGUAUGGGUGCUCUACAGAGCUAUUGAUUUUGAUGUGCUCAGAUCAACUUUCGGUGGAUACUCCCCCACUUUAGUUGGGGUUGCCGAGGAGAGUAAAGCAAUCAUUGUAGUGACAACUUGUGGUGUCUUCAUGGUCUAUCUCCAGUCAAUGGAGUUUAAGAAACUUUCCGAUGAAUGGUCCUCCUGUCUCCAUUAUCCAUUUGCAUGUUUCUACCCUGCAGUUGUAGGUACUGCCAUUGUUGACGGACAUGAUGGAGAUGAGGUGUUGAACAAUAUAUGA
rnacentral:rRNA from 1 species